GUCACGUUGGACAGCUUGUCCAAUAGGAAUGAAGCAUUUCUAUCCGCGCCGCACCCGAGCCGCAGAGCAGUGCGGAGGCUUUCUCGUCUCGCCCGUGCACGCGUGCCCCGCUCCCGCCCUGGGCCGGUGGGGGCCUGCAGCCGCCCAUGCUCAGCUCGGGCAACGAGAAAUGCUGCUUUCCCUGUUGCCUCUUAAAUCAUUUAUUCUCUAUUUGCCGCAAAUCAGAGUCGCUUCUUGCCCCUCGCGCUCCAGUUGUCCAAGGCAACCUAAUCACCAGUAUGAAUCAACGGGCAUUUCCGGAAGAAAUGGCCUGGCCGCACCAUUAACAACAGCUAGGAGUGCCGGUGUCCCUGGUGUAUGGAUCUGUCAAGCACUAGAUAAAAUAACAACCUCCCUUCUAGGAAAAGAUACGGAGAUCGCUUAUCUGCACCUUGAAAAAAAAGCCCUUCAAAGCAUUCAUUAUUUUCCGUAUUUGCCCUCAGGUUACAAUAGAGACAAGCAAAGGAUUUGCGCUAUGAGACUUCAAGCCUGACUGGUAUUAAUAAUGGAGGUAGGGAAAUAUUCGCUGGCAUCAUUGGUCUCCAAAUGAACCCAUGACAAGGCGCAGGAUGAAAACUCCGGCUCUGCAACUCGGGAGAGCUGCAGAGGUUCGUGACUGGUCAAGGAAAGGCUCUGCUCGAGCAACUAUAUGGCUCAGGAUCCACUGAGUUCCAUAUAAGCAGGAGCUGCAGCGCUCAGGACGGUCCUGCUUUUAAAUAAUUCACAGCUGAGAAAGGGACCAAUACACGCAUGGGGUUUGGGGGCGGUUCGGAGGAAAAAGAAAAGCAGCUCGCCAACGCAGAAAGGAGUCUUACUCUUCGGAGGUGUGGAAGAGGUUAAACCCAACUGUUUCUUUGAAAUUUAUAAAGGUAAUCGUCAAGGAUGUAUAAAGGCUACUGAAAGAUUUUAGUGAUCUGCAGAAUAGGAAUUGAAUCCGCAAAAAGUGAGCAAUGAAAUAAUUUACUUAACUGUGGAGAGAAAGGGAGCGUGUCUGUCUGAGAGAUUUCUCCCCCUUUCAGUUAUACUGGAUGUCACCUCUUUGGUGUAGUAUGCAAAUGGAGCACCUCUUUUAGGUAUCUUCCAAUAAAUGAAUAUUUUCUUGUCCAAGAAGAAAACUCGAGAUCGGAGGGAUCUGUCCAGUUGCACUGAAGCCAGACUCAUCAGUCAUCAAUCAAGAGAGCUCUACAUUUCUCCCAGAUGUAAAAGGGUGAAUCAAUUAAAGUACUACGAUGCGUCUGCCUUA